rnacentral:rRNA from 1 species
GCCAGUCGACUGGAUUCUUCUUCGGAAGAUAGUACGGUGGCGGACGGGUGAGUAACGCGUAAAGAAUUUGCCCUUCAGACUGGGACAACUAAUCGAAAGGUUAGCUAAUACCGGAUAUUAUGAGACCUCGGCAUCGRGGACUUAUGAAAGCUAUAUGCGCUGGAGGAGAACUUUGCGUUCCAUUAGCUAGUUGGUAGGGUAAUGGCCUACCAAGGCGACGAUGGAUAGCCGGCCUGAGAGGGUGAACGGCCACAAGGGGACUGAGACACGGCCCUUACUCCUACGGGAGGCAGCAGUGGGGAAUAUUGGACAAUGGACCAAAAGUCUGAUCCAGCAAUUCUGUGUGCACGAUGAAGGUCUUCGGAUUGUAAAGUGCUUUCAGGUGGGAAGAAGAAAGUGACGGUACCACCAGAAGAAGCGACGGCUAAAUACGUGCCAGCAGCCGCGGUAAUACGUAUGUCGCAAGCGUUAUCCGGAAUUAUUGGGCGUAAAGCGAGUCUAGGCGGCUUGUUAAGUCAGAUGUGAAAAUGCGGGGCUCAACUCCGUAUUGCGUUUGAAACUGGCAGGCUAGAGUACUGGAGAGGUGGGCGGAACUACAAGUGUAGAGGUGAAAUUCGUAGAUAUUUGUAGGAAUGCCGAUAGUGAAGACAGCUCACUGGACAGAUACUGACGCUAAAGCUCGAAAGCGUGGGGAGCGAACAGGAUUAGAUACCCUGGUAGUCCACGCCGUAAACGAUGUU